rnacentral:lncRNA from 1 species
CAGAAACUUCCUAUAAUCAUCUUCUGCAGAGGGGCUGAGUAUUGCACAGCUACCCACAGCAACACUACCUGCUCCAGAGACAAUGAAGCUGAAGAAUGUCUUGCAGAAGGAAAAUGCCUCUCAGCCCUGAAACUAGGAACACUAAAGAGGGUCAAAGCACAAGACAUCCAUCCCUAGCCAGUGUUCCCACCCGUGGAGAAAGUGAGAGUACACUGAGUGGCCUGUCCCAUCCAGAGUUUUUCUAGUCAUUUCCUCUGUGACUUGAAUUUCCUCAAGAGAAUAAACUCAGAUGUGAUUGGAAGAAGG